rnacentral:tRNA from 1 species
GAGGCUGUAGCUCAGUGGCAGAGCGCUUGCCUAGCAUGCAUGAGGCACUGAGUUUGAUCCUCAGCACCACCU